UUGAACGCUGGCGGCAGGCCUAACACAUGCAAGUCGAACGGUAACAGGAAGAAGCUUGCUUCUUUGCUGACGAGUGGCGGACGGGUGAGUAAUGUCUGGGAAACUGCCUGAUGGAGGGGGAUAACUACUGGAAACGGUAGCUAAUACCGCAUAACGUCGCAAGACCAAAGAGGGGGACCUUCGGGCCUCUUGCCAUCGGAUGUGUCCAGAUGGGAUUAGCUUGUUGGUGGGGUAACGGCUCACCAAGGCGACGAUCCCUAGCUGGUCUGAGAGGAUGACCAGCCACACUGGAACUGAGACACGGUCCAGACUCCUACGGGAGGCAGCAGUGGGGAAUAUUGCACAAUGGGCGCAAGCCUGAUGCAGCCAUGCCGCGUGUAUGAAGAAGGCCUUCGGGUUGUAAAGUACUUUCAGCGGGGAGGAAGGGAGUAAAGUUAAUACCUUUGCUCAUUGACGUUACCCGCAGAAGAAGCACCGGCUAACUCCGUG
rnacentral:rRNA from 1 species